ensembl:lncRNA
CUUGCCUCUGCCACAAGAACUUCCUACUGGGACCCACAUGGUCACUUGGCCCUGGGACUGGCAGGACAACAUCUGCGAACGUUUUCACUGCCUGAAGACACACCGCUGCUGACAUACAAAAUCACUCCAACUGCUGAGUAUGCAGCGAGCUGCCUCUCUCUUCAACCACAGGGUUACCAUGGUGUCUCCAAGCUGCCAACGCCUCUGACUGAAGGGCCCUAGGAGAGUGGAGGAACACUGCCCUCUUUCCCAUUUCUACUCCCCUCCACAUGCUGUGCUCUCUAUUGCUGUUGUGGUGUCUGCUUACAAUGCUCCUCUAUGUGUCUGGCUCAAGGGACUCUGCGGAAGAAUGGCGCACGCGACAAGAUUGCCAAAAGAACCCAAAGAAAGUAGAGGAAAUGUCUAUCUCCCCUACACAACCAUGUUUCCUUCUGGCUCCCUUCUGGGCAGGCAGCCCAGCUACUGGGAUUUGUAACGAUCUGGACCUGGCCAGCCCAGAUCCUCCCUUAUCCCAUGAGAAGAACAUCAUCUUUUUGUUUUCUUUUUUGAGGAAGAAUAACCCUGAGAUAACUGCUGCCAAUCCUCCCCUUUUUGCUGACGAAGACUGGCCCUGAGCUAACAUCCAUGCCCAUCUUCCUCGACUUUAUACAUGGGAUGCCUACCACAGCAUGGCAUGCCAAGCGGUGCCAUGUCCGCACCUGGGAUCCGAACCAGCGAACCCCAGGCCACCAAAGCGGAACAUGCGACCUUAACCACUGUGCCACCAGGCUGGCCCCCAGAACAUCAUGUCUUACAGGGACACAGAGACUCUCCAUGUGAGCUAAUGUUCCUGGGAAUGCUGGUCGUACCAAGGACAGCCCUUUGGCAAGCACACAGCCUUUGCUCUUCUGCCUACUUAAGCAAGCUUCUCUUGGGGGGCAGUGGCAAGUGCACACUUCCAUCCAGCCAGCUGCCACUGGACAUGAUCCCUGUAAAUAAGUCCCAAUAAACGUAUAUGUCUCGUUUGCGGUCCCUGGUUCGUUUCUUCAGUCUCUCGGCCCGAUAUCCCACCGUCCUAACCCAGCUGGGCUUGUGGCCUAACAUAGGGGCAUAGAGCACUUAACAUGUGCCAAAUGAAAACAACAUUCAACUCCAUAAAAUCACUUGGUUUCCAACUUCGACUAGUGACUGGCACCCAGUGUGGAAGACGUGAAGCUAACUGUCAUGUGUGACAAUGCCCUAUCUCUUGUCAUACAAUAGCAAAUCCACUAUUAUGCUAUGUUUGUUCUACUACACAUAUAUAUUUUUGAAGGUCUUUGGUGAAGAGUGGUAUGUUUAUUUUCAUGUGAAAUAGCCACAAUAAUUAUGUACUGUCAUAUCUUCCUGACUUAAAAGGCACUUGAUAUAUAUAGUUAGAGAUUAUCUAUUGCAUAUAGGUUGCUAGAUAUUCAUUGUAAAUUACAUCCUUAAUAAAUAUGAAGUUAUCAUCUUUUUCCCAUUUAAUGCUAAUUGCAAUGGUGUUACAUUUUCUCCAAUUUAGCAUUCCUACUCCUCACUUCAUUGUGUCUAUGUUUGAUAGAGCAUUACCUGUCAUUUUGCUUAUAGAAUAUUUCUUGCAUGUUAUUUUAUGAUCUGUUAUAAACAAAGAGGUAAUAUAGUCCAAUUUACUGGCAAAAGGGAGUCUCUGGAGCCAGAGUCUUUGCAUCCGGAUAGAAGUUGCAACAUAAAUAACAAAGUGACCAAAG